UACGUAGGGUCCGAGCGUUGUCCGGAAUUAUUGGGCGUAAAGGGCUCGUAGGCGGUUUGUCGCGUCGAGAGUGAAAACUCAGGGCUCAACCCUGAGCGUGCUUCCGAUACGGGCAAACUAGAGGUAUGCAGGGGAGAAUGGAAUUCCUGGUGUAGCGGUGGAAUGCGCAGAUAUCAGGAGGAACACCGGUGGCGAAGGCGGUUCUCUGGGCAUUACCUGACGCUGAGGAGCGAAAGCAUGGGGAGCGAACGGG
rnacentral:rRNA from 1 species